GGGCCUCAGUUGGUAGAGCAUCACACCGGUAUCGCGGAGGUCAUGGGUUCGAAUCCCGUUGUAAACC
rnacentral:tRNA from 1 species